rnacentral:rRNA from 1 species
GACGAACGCUGGCGGCGUGCUUAACACAUGCAAGUCGAACGAUGAAGCCGGAGCUUGCUCCGGUGGAUUAGUGGCGAACGGGUGAGUAACACGUGAGCAAUCUGCCCUUGACUCUGGGAUAACUGCGGGAAACUGUAGCUAAUACCGGAUACGACACCUUGGGGCAUCCCAGGGUGUGGAAAGAAUUUCGGUCAAGGAUGAGCCCGCGGCCUAUCAGCUAGUUGGUGAGGUAAUGGCUCACCAAGGCGACGACGGGUAGCCGGCCUGAGAGGGUGACCGGCCACACUGGAACUGAGACACGGUCCAGACUCCUACGGGAGGCAGCAGUGGGGAAUAUUGCACAAUGGGCGAAAGCCUGAUGCAGCAACGCCGCGUGAGGGAUGAAGGCCUUCGGGUUGUAAACCUCUUUUAGCAAGGGAGAAGCGAAAGUGACGGUACCUGCAGAAAAAGCUCCGGCUAACUACGUGCCAGCAGCCGCCGUAA